AUCCAGAAGUGCUUUUUUUAUAGGGGUUAAUUAGAGACAAGAUUUUAGAGUCUCAGAAAGCCAGCUUUCCCCAAGAGCCUGAGCAAGCAAGAGGCACCGAGGGGGUGGGACAACAAGAGGGUGGCAGUUGGUGUCUUUGGUGCUUUUUUUGAGUCCUGUGAUCACUUUUAUUCAGCAUUGUCAUUUCUAUGCAGUGAUGAAUACAGAAACAGUACUGGGUGUUUGGACGUUUGGGCUCCAGCUGAAGCUUCCCCACCCCAAGGACUGAGGUGUCCUAUUAGGAGGAUAAGGAGAGGGAUGGCCUUCCUCUAAAUAACAGUGUCUUGGUCAUGAUGCCCUGGAGAAUAAUCACCAAAGCUGAAGAAGCCUGCAGGCCUGCUUCUGAAACCUCUCCUGGACUACCCGAACAACCCUGGCAACUGUUCAGGGCCAGAGAUUCUUUAAAAGUAAUAGCUUGAAUAUCAUUUCUUCCAUAUUUUAUGGGCCUACAGAAUUUAUGUGGUAAACAAGGUGCAAUGGAUUCUGCUUAAGGAUACUGAGGUAUUCGUUUCAAUGAGGAUAUGAUAUAAAAACUGCACAGAUUGUAGAAAACACAGUGGCAUACAUACAUGCUGACACCGAAGACUUUCCUAAAUGCAAAUACAGUAAUGAACUGAGUUUGUGUUUUAUUUUCACAUGUAUCCUUCCACCACCCACACCCUCAUGGUCUCUCAUCUGAAUUCUAUCUAGAGAUUUCAGACGACAGCAUCUUCUUU
rnacentral:lncRNA from 1 species